UUAUCUGUAACCUUUGCUGUUUGUUCAUGGAGUCUGUACUUCAGCCUGGGUCCAUCUAUCUCUGGUGUCUAGAGUAUUCUUCAGGAAUCUGAGAGAGGUCCACUGAUUUGAGAGUGGAUGUUGGUUUUUCAGCUAUAGCUAAAGGAGGUCUUCGUGAAGUCUCCUUGAAAGGAUGUUAUAAUGUCACCGAUGAAGAAGUCCUUGCUCCUGCACUCAAAUGCCAGCUGCUAAACAUCAUUGAAUUGGCUGCUGCUUAAGUAUUGUGCCCUUACACGCACUAGGGAAAAACUGCCCACCUUUGCAAUGUAUUGACUUUUCAACUUCUCAGUGUGUCACAACACCAUUACAUCAAAUAUGCCCAUCCUUCAGCCUCACCUGGAGUUGGAGAUACUAGAAGGACUGGGGCUGAAUUCCUUGCCACGGAAGAGCUACAUGCUUUUUGUUUUGGUUUGGUUUUGAGAAGGGGCUUUCCUGUAUAGCCUAGGCUUCCCUACCUCUUCAAACCCUCUUGUCCCUGCCUCACAAAUGCUAUGAUGAGGGGUGUGUGUCAUCUCUUCAGGCCUUGAACAGCUCUUUAGAUAUGUCUUAUAAUGAAUAUCACCUAGUGUCAAGUCUUUCAAAUUUCAGCUGUCACUCAACUCAUGUUCCUCAAAUACAAAUAAUUCUAGAACUUUGUAACAUCUUGACAACUCUUUACAAACUCCAUUGUUCAGAUUGGGACUCAGGUCAUAACAUCCUAAGCCCAUGUGGGAUCUGGACAGAGAAAACUUUACUAUGUAGAUCUUGAAAAUAAGAACAUAUUAAUUUAGUCAUUUUAGUGCAUGAUAUAUAGUUAUGUUUGUUUCCCCUAAUAAAACACUUCAGUCAUUUUCUAUCUUUAGAGAUAUUUUAAAAAAUGUUAAUAUACUUUUAUCUAUGGAUGUUUUCUUGGUUUAGAAUGUUUAAAUCUUUUAUAUUGAGUUGAUAGUAGACACUAAUUAUUUUAUAUCACUUUUUUUUGCCUCUAGUUUUUGAGGUGUCCAGACCUGAUAUUCUUUUUCACUACUCUGUUUGUUUGAAUGUUUUUGUCUCUUUCAAAACUCAAGUUAGCAACUUCACAUCAAUGCAACAGAAUUUGGAGAUGGGAUCAAUUGAAAUGGUUUAGGCCAAAAGAUUUUGUCAGUCAGAAGUAUACUUAAAUGACUUGAGGAAUGAGUUUCUUCUCUUUGGAAUUUCUGGUAUAUUAAAAAAUGGCAUUCCUCCUUUCUGGGGACGCAGUAACAAGACUCCAUCUUGGAUCUGAAAAUUGAACUCAGUAGCAACUUGAUCUUGAAUUUCCUAGCCUCCAGAAUUCUAGGAAUAUAUCUUUGUUCUUUGUAAAUUACCGAGACUAAAACAGCCAUAAACUUUAUCUCUAGUUAAGGCAACUGGUAAGCUGGCUGCGUCAGGACAAAGGUAUGUAGUGCAAUCUAGGUCUUGUCUCCUUCUGAAUUCAGUCUAGAUAACAAAAGAGAAUUCUUUUCCAGUAUUGAAACUGAGAUGCAGGAUACAGGAACUCUAAGAAGUCCCGUGACAUGUGUGAACAAAACUAGCUGGAGGGGGUAAAAAAUACAAUAUAGAAAUAAAAAUGAACAUUACUCUA